rnacentral:rRNA from 1 species
CAGUCGCCACGGGAAUACAGAGGGUGCGAGCGUUAAUCGGAUUUACUGGGCGUAAAGCGUGCGUAGGCGGCUUUUUAAGUCGGAUGUGAAAUCCCUGAGCUUAACUUAGGAAUUGCAUUCGAUACUGGGAAGCUAGAGUAUGGGAGAGGAUGGUAGAAUUCCAGGUGUAGCGGUGAAAUGCGUAGAGAUCUGGAGGAAUACCGAUGGCGAAGGCAGCCAUCUGGCCUAAUACUGACGCUGAGGUACGAAAGCAUGGGGAGCAAACAGGAUUAGAUACCCCGGUAGUCCCUGUCUCUUAUAC